UACAGAGGGUGCAAGCGUUGUUCGGAAUUAUUGGGCUUAAAGCGCGUGUAGGCGGCUUUGCAAGUCGGGUGUGAAAGCCCUCAGCUCAACUGAGGAAGUGCGCCCGAAACUGCAGAGCUUGAGUACCGGAGAGGAUGGCGGAAUUCCCCAAGUAGAGGUGAAAUUCGCAGAUAUGGGGAGGAACACCGGUGGCGAAGGCGGCCAUCUGGACGGAUACUGACGCUGAGACGCGAAAGCGUGGGUAGCAAACAGG
rnacentral:rRNA from 1 species